UAACGCGAAGAACCUUACCAAGGCUUGACAUACACGAGAACGGGCCAGAAAUGGUCAACUCUUUGGACACUCGUGAACAGGUGGUGCAUGGUUGUCGUCAGCUCGUGUCGUGAGAUGUUGGGUUAAGUCCCGCAACGAGCGCAACCCUCGUUCUAUGUUGCCAGCGCGUAAUGGCGGGAACUCAUAGGAGACUGCCGGGGUCAACUCGGAGGAAGGUGGGGAUGACGUCAAAUCAUCAUGCCCCUUAUGUCUUGGGCUUCACGCAUGCUACAAUGGCCGGUACAAAGGGCUGCAAUACCGUAAGGUGGAGCGAAUCCCAAAAAGCCGGUCUCAGUUCGGAUUGAGGUCUGCAACUCGACCUCAUGAAGUCGGAGUCGCUAGUAAUCGCAGAUCAGCA
rnacentral:rRNA from 1 species